GACGAACGCUGGCGGCGUGCUUAACACAUGCAAGUCGAACGGAAAGGCCCUGCUUUUGUGGGGUGCUCGAGUGGCGAACGGGUGAGUAACACGUGUGUAACCUGCCCUUGACUUUGGGGUAACUUCAGGAGACUGGGGCUCAUACAGGAUAGGAGCUCCUGCUGCAUGUUGGGGGUUGGAAAGUUUCGGCGGUUGGGGAUGGACUCGCGGCUUAGCCGCUAGUUGGGGGGGUAGUGGCUUUCCAAGGGUUUGACGGGUAGCCGGCCUUGGAAGGUGACCGGCCACCUGGGGACUGAGAGACGGCCCAGACGCCUACGGGAGGCAGCGGUGGGAAAUAUUGCACAAUGGGCGGAAGCCUGAUGCAGCAACGCCGCGUGCGGGAUGACGGCCUUCGAGUUAUAAACCGCUUUCGCCUGUGACGAAGCGUGAGUGACGGUAAUGGGUAAAGAAGCACCGGCUAACUACGUG
rnacentral:rRNA from 1 species